rnacentral:rRNA from 1 species
GAUGAACGCUGGCGGUCUGCUUAACACAUGCAAGUCGAACGGGGAACCUCGGUUCCUAGUGGCGGACGGGUGAGUAACGCGUGAGAAAUCUGCCCUCAGGACUGGGACAACAAGUUGGAAACGACUGCUAAUACCGGAUGUGCCCUUGGGUGAAAACAUUAAUGGUCUGAGGAUGAGCUCGCGUCAGAUUAGCUAGUUGGAGUGGUAACGGCACACCAAAGGCAAUGAUCUGUAAGCUGGUCUGAGAGGAUGAUCAGCCACACUGGGACUGAGACACGGCCCAGACUCCUACGGGAGGCAGCAGUGGGGAAUUUUCCGCAAUGGGGGCAACCCUGACGGAGCAAGACCGCGUGGGGGAGAA